rnacentral:rRNA from 1 species
AUGAGCAAACUUCUGGAGGCGAAUAACGGCAUGCUUGAUAGCCUCAUGUCGGUGCGGGUGUAUGGGAUCCGUGAAGAGCUCACGCCCGAUCUCGAGCAAAUCAAGGUGAGCCUAUACAAGCAAGAGACCGUGGAUCCAGGCCUCAAGGGGGCGGGAGUUCAUCAUCGUGCAAUGCUGGUCAUGGUCGUGCCGUCACCGACAUCCUUGGCUUCGACAAUGAACACCGGGGGAAGGCCCAUAAUGUUAUGUUCCUCCCCCGGUCAGAGAAUUGAUGCGAAGAUCAGUUCCGUCUCUGGGGUAGUCCUAUGCAUAGGUGGAUUUCCAUGGCCACGGCUCAAUUUGAAGGUGCUGCUGCUAGGUGGCUUGAAUCAGUGCAAAGACGAAUGCCCAAUUUCAGUUGGACUGAAUGGCCGUAUCAAACUCUUCACAGAAAAUUGUUUCGAAUCGCUUCAAUCAGUCCUGGGGAGGAUUAUAGCGGGAUUGCUCCAACCAGUUCUGUGGAGGAUUAUGUUGAGCGGGAUUGCUCCAACCAGUUCUGUGGAGGAUAUGUUGAGCGCUUUGCUGAGCUCUAUGAUCAACUCACUGCCUAUGAGGAUGCUCCUAAUUCUCUGCACAAGCCCAAGGUUGCAUGAGGAAUUGGGAGAGGGUUAA